UGUGGGGAUUGGAAAUGAUUGCAAGUUCCAUGGUUUCCAUUUUUUAAGGUUCCCCGAGGACAGACUUCUCUCCAGGUGGCUGCUGGACAAUGAAGCUUUGCAGAAACAUGGCUCCUUAUGGGCCAUUCCCAACAACGAGGUGUGCCUGGCCAGAGCAUAGUCACAUGUGGACAGAACACACCAACUUCUGUCACCCAAUUCAGCGAGGAUUCUGUGACUCUGCGUCCCCGAAGAAAUCCUGUGCAGAGUGAAGGUUUGAACAAGCUGGUUUACGGACACAUGGGUGGGAUCGCUGUCUGAUUGGCUGAGCUGGCAUUGACUCAUACAUUCUUUGACCAGCUGUUGCACUUUGGAUUCUCUGCGGAGUGUGUUUAAAGUCUCUGGAAUUGGCUCGAGCUGACAAGCUAUUUUGGACACCAGCUGCCAGAGUUGUCUGGGCUCUGACGAGUGUGUGGAGAGAGACGGGUGAGGAUAAGGGAAGCCGCCUUGCUGGCCAAAUGUGGGUGUUUCUUUGGCAGUGUCUUAGCUGGUUGUUGUGUGCCAUGAGAAGAAGCAAUCAGCAAGUAUACUGCCGUAGAAAUGCUUCACUGAAUGCGGCCCUAUACACGCUCUUCCUCAGCUACUCCCCACUUCACUGUCAAAUUGCACCUUUUUGAGGUUUUGGGUAAAGUACUUUUUUUUGUUGUAAAAUAUUCUUUGAAGUAGCAGGUGGGAAUCAACUUUGAAAAAUAAAUAAUUGAAUGUGGAAUCCAGAAAUGUAAGUGCCAAAUGUGGGGUCAUCGUAUUGGGGUUUUAUUUACUUUAGUAAUGAGGAUGUUUAGUUAAUCUUUACAAGUUAAACUGUGUAUGAAUGUGCCUCCCCAUACACUUUCUCCUCCCCCCUCUCUCUCGGUGCUAUCAAGUCUCUUUCUCCUUUUGGGCUUUAUCCCAUCUGUAAACUGUGACCAUGCACAGCAGGAGGGAGUGUGGAUGUUGGGGAUUUGGUGAGAUAUAUCCUGAUCAAAAUCUGCCCUCAUCUUGUCGAUUUAAGGUUUGCUAAUGUUCAGAGAAUUUAAGACAUUGUUGCCAACACAAAUGUUCAUUUUACUGUGAGAGGGACAACGUUAAUAGAUUCCUAGCCCAUUGGUGAGAAUUAAACCAAGACAAAUAUAUAUUUA